AAUAGCAUGUCCGAGUGGUUAAGGAGGUAGACUCGAACUUCACUAGGCUCAAUCUGUGCAGGUUCAAAUCCCGCAGUUAUCG
rnacentral:tRNA from 1 species